GCCGCGUGCCUCCCGGUGAUCACGCGCACUUCUUCAGAGCGGGAACAAACAUCCAGAGAAAACUGCUUCUGCACCGGAGCAGAGGACCGGAGGACCGGAGGAGGAGGAGGUGUUUGUCCGCUUUGAAAAAUCCGCUGAAGACAAGUCCCUCACUCACCGUGUGCGCGUGCGCGUGAAUCGAUGAGAUGCGUGCUUGAUUGGAUCUCCCUGUUUGCAAUAAUGUGCAUGAGGAGGAGGAGGAGGCUCGGGCUGCCGAUGAGACUUGCUCCUUCUGCCCAGGAGCGCCUCCCUCUGCGCUCCUACUAGAACAAGGAGCCGUGUCCGCGCGCAGGUGAGCUCUCUCAGGUGAGGCCGCCGUGAGGAGGCGCGGAGCCGCUCCCAGGCUCGCGGACGAGAGCAAAGUUUGGAGGAGGAGGUUUUCCGGCGCUCGGAUCCUCGCGCAGACCCGUUCAACUACAGCACGAGGACCGCCCUGGCUUCUUCUUCUGUGGUGUGCACAGAUUUGGGAGACCUCAGCUGGAGCCAGCAGACAGGCGGCAGACGUUUCAGAGCCGACGGAGCCGCCGCACUUCCCGCUCUCGCAGUUCUCUGCUCCACUUUCAUGUAGUCGCUGCGAUCCAGAUGACACUUGGCAAGCCGCAGAAGCCGCAAGACAACUAGAUGAAAUAUUUAAAUGAAAUAUGACAGGGGUAUGAGAGGUGAAGAAAGGACGAGGAGUAAGCGAUAGAAGAGAAAACGAGCCGAGCGACAAUGCUCCAAGUGUGAGGGAUUUCUUUUCUUGGCUCGGAGAAGUGACGGGAAGCGCAGAUGAAUUGGCUUUCACCUGGGUGUAGCCUGAAGAAACAGGUAUAACUGUAUGAGCUCACACUGCUGUGUCCUGGAAUGAUCAGAGGAUAGUCUGAACCCUUCAGCUUCAGGCAGCAGCACUGCAGUCCAGAUGGACCGGAUAACGGCUCUGACCCCGGGCUCGGCGCUCGUACGGAAGCUGGCUAAAUGUGUGGAAUUUGUGGAAAAAUCUGUGGCGUGGCACUAAAGAUGGGCGGGGCCUCAGUGCAGUCCUGUCACUGUGUCAACCUUAGCUUUGUGAAACCAGAGGUGGAGAUCUGCCAAUCACAGGUAGCGCCGCCCUAAAGCCCGCCCCUGCUUGCUGCUCCUUUGUGACUCUACUUCGAUACUUUCUGUUACGCCCCACCCCCACUCCCCCCAAGACUGUAAAUAGUAUCAUUUGUCUAUAAAGUUGUUAUUAUACAUGCAUCUCUGCAUAACAUUGUGUCCUUAUUAACAAUAAGGACACAAACAAAAAACAAAGAAUAACUUUAUUAAGAUUGUUUUCUAGUCUGCAACAGAUUUAAAGUGCAUGUAGUAGUACUGCAACUCUCUAAAAUACUACUACUACAUUUAAAGAGCAUCAAUUUGUCUGAAAUUAAAAAAAAAAAAUUCUUAUUCACACUAUAAACAUUUUUUUGACCGACUUGAUUCAGAAAAAUAAAAUUAAACAAAAUUUAAAUUGAUCACCAACAUUAACUACUCAGCAGACGGUCUGUUCUCGUUUCCCACCGUAGUCACAGUGAAGCCGAGCGCUACAUACGCCUGGGUGGAGGUGCUACAGGAGAACCAAGGGGAGCAUUAAAAAUCUGCCUGUUCCUCUGUAGCACACACAGGUCAAACACCCUGACCAGAACCCUCACCGGCCCCCUCGCCAUCUCGAGGUGAGCGACUGCAGGGAGUCUGUGCAGCCUCAGGCCUCCUCUGCAGCCGUGUGUCUGUAGGCUGAUUCAAACAUUCAUACAGCCGGUCAGUUUUAUUUUUUAUAUUAGCCAUGUUUUUAUGUCAAGUCACACAUUUACUCAGAGGACAGGGUCAGGACCUGUGAGGGGUAACGUGAUGAUCUCACAAUAAAAGUCCUUCACACUGAGCUCUUAUUCUCUGAGCUGCAGUUAAAAUUCAUCUGUUUCUCACUGCUCUUCAACCGAGGCUGAAGGAGAUCAGAAAAACAGUAAUCUGAUAAUAAUUGAUAGUUUUUUAUUAAUCAGGAAGUGAAACUGGACUGUGUUAGUGAGCGUUUCCCGAGCCCAGGAAUAGUAAAAAUCCAAAACAAUAAAAUGAAACCUCUUUACUGAAA
ensembl:lncRNA